UCGUUGUCGCUUCCAUAGGGAUUCGGAGUCAGGACAAUGCGGGGGACCUGGAACUCACCAUAGUCCAAAAACUGGGUGGGUACGGGUGGGUCUCCAGAUUGGAUUUGAAGGGACUGCGCGAGUUCCAAGGAAAACACGAUAGCCGAGUUCCUUAGGCCAAAGAGGGCGAGGGAAGGACCGUGCUUCAGUCUUGUUGAGCAUAGUGCCGCCUUAGAUAGAUCUAUGCACUCAGAUAGAUUUAUGCACUCAGCGUAGCGCCGCGAUCAGGUCGGAGGGCUUGGGUGGGUAGGUCGCAGAUAGGAUGUGUGGGACCCUCUCUAAGAGAGAGAGAUCGCCGACCUGCUGGGGAAGCAGCAUGAUGAUCCUCGGGUGGAGGUUUUGC
rnacentral:lncRNA from 1 species